UGUUAUCCUUUACACAGAUAGCUCUUGGGAAGGUGCUGCGUCUAGUUGGUUAAAAGUAAUUCCAUGGGGCUUUUAUAAGCUGUUAAAAAAGAUAAGAGAAGACUACGACAAUCCCACAAUUUUCAUAACUGAAAACGGAUUCUCCACACGAGAAGGACUAGUAGAUGACGAUCGAGUAUCAUAUUAUAGGCAAUAUCUUGACGUGAUGUUAGACGCCAUCGAAGACGGCUCCGAUAUCAGAGUGUACACUGCAUGGAGUUUAAUGGAUAACUUUGAAUGGCUACAAGGAUACACGAAACGAUUUGGCUUGUAUGAAGUAGACUAUGAGAGCCCGGAGAGGACUCGCACUCCUCGCAAAGCUGCCUAUGUUUACAAAGAAAUCAUUCGUUCAAGAGAACUCGACUUUCACUAUGAACCCGAUAUGAGCUUGCCUCUGACUAUUGAUGAAUGACAUUAAACUUCGAAUAUUAAUGUUGAUUUUUUUUUAAAACGUUGCGUGUAUUUUCACAAAAACAAAGUUAUCAAAAAUAUAUAGGAAUACUCAAUAACUUACGCAG